rnacentral:lncRNA from 1 species
CAAAUCAAGCAUCUACUUCCUAUCAAAUUCCUUUACUAUCAGAUGAAGACAUGGCAAUACUAAAAGAAUUAUUAAGCAAAACAACAGGUAUGAAUUUUAACUUUCAUUCCAUGAUUUUUAAAAACACUUGGAUUGUUGAUACUGAAGCAUCUCAGCAUAUGACUGGAGAUAUUAAAAUGAUUGAAACAAUUUCAAAAAAUAAAAUCAAUGAAUUUGUUACCAUACCUAGUGGGGAAAUUCGCAAAAUACAAAAUAAAGGAGAAACAAAAAUCUCAGAAAAUAUCAUACUUAAAAAUAUAAUGUAUAUACCUGAUUUUAAAGUAAACCUAAUAUCAGUACAUAAAUUAGCUGUUGAUAAUAAUUUAGAUAUAAUUUUUGAUAAAAAUGGUUUUAAAUUUCAGGAAAGAAAGUCAGGGAAUGUGAUUGGUCUGGGUGAAUGCAAACAAGGAUUAUACUUCCUAAACGCAGCAAAGUCACAAGUAUAUGCAAAUCAAGCUGUGGAUUACAAGACUUGGCACAUGAAGCUAGGUCAUUUAUCCCCACAAAAAUUGCAGAUUUUAACAAAUAC